GAAUUUUGGGCAAUGGGCGAAAGCCUGACCCAGCAACGCCGCGUGAAGGAUGAAAUCCCUCGGGAUGUAAACUUCGCAAGAACGGGAAGAAUAAGUCUGCGUUAAUAUCGCAGGCGAUGACGGUACUGUUUGUAAGCUCCGGCUAACUCCGUGCCAGCAGCCGCGGUAAUACGGGGGGAGCAAGCGUUGUUCGGAUUUACUGGGCGUAAAGGGCGCGUAGGCGGCCACUGCAAGUCAAUUGUGAAAUCUCCGGGCUUAACUCGGAAAGGUCAACUGAUACUGCAGGGCUAGAGUGCGGAAGGGGCAACUGGAAUUCUCGGUGUAGCGGUGAAAUGCGUAGAUAUCGAGAGGAACACCUGCGGCGAAGGCGGGUUGCUGGGCCGACACUGACGCUGAGGCGCGAAAGCUAGGGGAGCGAACGGG
rnacentral:rRNA from 1 species